AGCAGUCGCCGCGGUAAGACAGAGGGUGCAAGCGUUAAUCGGAAUUACUGGGCGUAAAGCGUGCGCAGGCGGUUCUAUAAGACAGAUGUGAAAUCCCCGGGCUCAACCCGGGAACUGCAUUUGUGACUGUAGAGCUGGAGUGCGGCAGAGGGGGAUGGAAUUCCGCGUGUAGCAGUGAAAUGCGUAGAUAUGCGGAGGAACACCGAUGGCGAAGGCAAUCCCCUGGGCCUGCACUGACGCUCAUGCACGAAAGCGUGGGGAGCAAACAGGAUUAGAUACCCGAGUAGUCCCUGUCUCUUAUAC
rnacentral:rRNA from 1 species